GUCGACGGUAGAGGGGGCAACCCCUUGAGAGUGGCGAACGGGUGAGUAAUAUAUCGGAACGUGCCCAGUCGUGGGGGAUAACGUAGCGAAAGUUACGCUAAUACCGCAUACGAUCUACGGAUGAAAGCGGGGGACUCGCAAGAGCCUCGCGCGAUUGGAGCGGCCGAUAUCAGAUUAGGUAGUUGGUGGGGUAAAGGCUCACCAAGCCAACGAUCUGUAGCUGGUCUGAGAGGACGACCAGCCACACUGGAACUGAGACACGGUCCAGACUCCUACGGGAGGCAGCAGUGGGGAAUUUUGGACAAUGGACGCAAGUCUGAUCCAGCCAUUCCGCGUGCAGGAUGAAGGCCCUCGGGUUGUAAACUGCUUUUGUACGGAACGAAAAGGUCUCUCUUAAUACGGGGGGCUCAUGACGGUACCGUAAGAAUAAGCACCGGCUAACUACGUGCCAGCAGCCGCGGUAAUACGUAGGGUGCAAGCGUUAAUCGGAAUUACUGGGCGUAAAGCGUGCGCAGGCGGUUAUAUAAGACAGAUGUGAAAUCCCCGGGCUCAACCUGGGAACUGCAUUUGUGACUGUAUAGCUAGAGUACGGUAGAGGGGGAUGGAAUUCCGCGUGUAGCAGUGAAAUGCGUAGAUAUGCGGAGGAACACCGAUGGCGAAGGCAAUCCCCUGGACCUGUACUGACGCUCAUGCACGAAAGCGUGGGGAGCAAACAGGAUUAGAUACCCUGGUAGUCCACGCCCUAAACGA
rnacentral:rRNA from 1 species